GUGUGACUGCGUACCUUUUGUAUAAUGGGUCAGCGACUUAUAUUCUGUAGCAAGGUUAACCGAAUAGGGGAGCCGAAGGGAAACCGAGUCUUAACUGGGCGUUAAGUUGCAGGGUAUAGACCCGAAACCCGGUGAUCUAGCCAUGGGCAGGUUGAAGGUUGGGUAACACUAACUGGAGGACCGAACCGACUAAUGUUGAAAAAUUAGCGGAUGACUUGUGGCUGGGGGUGAAAGGCCAAUCAAACCGGGAGAUAGCUGGUUCUCCCCGAAAGCUAUUUAGGUAGCGCCUCGUGAAUUCAUCUCCGGGGGUAGAGCACUGUUUCGGCAAGGGGGUCAUCCCGACUUACCAACCCGAUGCAAACUGCGAAUACCGGAGAAUGUUAUCACGGGAGACACACGGCGGGUGCUAACGUCCGUCGUGAAGAGGGAAACAACCCAGACCGCCAGCUAAGGUCCCAAAGUCAUGGUUAAGUGGGAAACGAUGUGGGAAGGCCCAGACAGCCAGGAUGUUGGCUUAGAAGCAGCCAUCAUUUAAAGAAAGCGUAAUAGCUCACUGGUCGAGUCGGCCUGCGCGGAAGAUGUAACGGGGCUAAACCAUGCACCGAAGCUGCGGCAGCGACGCUGAUGCGUUGUUGGGUAGGGGAGCGUUCUGUAAGCCUGCGAAGGUGUGCUGUGAGGCAUGCUGGAGGUAUCAGAAGUGCGAAUGCUGACAUAAGUAACGAUAAAGCGGGUGAAAAGCCCGCUCGCCGGAAGACCAAGGGUUCCUGUCCAACGUUAAUCGGGGCAGGGUGAGUCGACCCCUAAGGCGAGGCCGAAAGGCGUAGUCGAUGGGAAACAGGUUAAUAUUCCUGUACUUGGUGUUACUGCGAAGGGGGGACGGAGAAGGCUAUGUUGGCCGGGCGACGGUUGUCCCGGUUUAAGCGUGUAGGCUGGUUUUCCAGGCAAAUCCGGAAAA
rnacentral:rRNA from 1 species